AAGAUAACUCCGCCUGUAGCCCCUCCGAGGGCUGCUGCCGGUCCCAAGCCCGGAUAAAAGGAGGAGGGUUUA
rnacentral:ribozyme from 2 species